rnacentral:rRNA from 1 species
GACGAACGCUGGCGGCGUGCUUAACACAUGCAAGUCGAACGGAAAGGCCCUGCUUUUGUGGGGUGCUCGAGUGGCGAACGGGUGAGUAACACGUGAGUAACCUGCUCUUGACUGUGGGAUAACUUCUGGAAACUGGGGCUACUACCGGCUAGGAGCUCCUGCUGCAUGGUGGGGGUUGGAAAGUUUCGGCGGUGGGGGAUGGUCUCGCGGGUUAUCAGCUUGAUGGUGGGGUAGUGGCUUUCCACGGCUUUGGCGGGUAGCCGGCCUGAGAGGGUGACCGGCCACCGUGGUCCUGCGAGACGGCCCAGUGUCCUACGGGGGACAGCGGUGGGGAAUAUGGCACAAUGGGCGGAAGCCUGAUGCAGCGACGCCGCGUGCGUGAUGACGGCCUUCGGGUGGUAAACCGCUUUCGCCUGUGACGAAGCGUGAGUGACGGUAAUGGGUAAAGAAGCACCGGCUAACUACGUG